rnacentral:lncRNA from 1 species
AAUAGAGGAGGAAAGAGAGAAAAUAAAAGAGAGAAGAGAGGGAGAGAGAGAACAUUACCAGCUAUAUUUACAGAACCAAUUCAUAAGUAACAAAAAUUUUACUCUAAGUAAGAGAAAUAUUUAUAAGUAAGAGCAUCCAUACAGUUCCGUUCAUAAGGAAGAGAACCCCUGCUCUAAUAAUGGGCCGAUUGAAAUUGCUAGAAUACACGGAGAGAGA